CAUAUCAUUAAGCGGAGGAAAAGAAACUAACAAGGAUUCCCCUAGUAACGGCGAGUGAAGCGGGAAGAGCUCAAGCUUAAAAUCUCCAUGUUUACAUGGCGAAUUGUAGUCUAUUGAGGCUGUUGUCAGCAUAGCGAUCUGGGACAAGUCCCUUGGAAAAGGGCAGCAUGGAGGGUGAUACUCCCGUCUCUGCUCAGAUUGUCUGUGUGUACGAUACGCUUUCUUUGAGUCGAGUUGUUUGGGAAUACAGCUCAAAGUAGGUGGUAAAUUCCAUCUAAAGCUAAAUAUUGGUGCGAGACCGAUAGCGAACAAGUACCGUGAGGGAAAGAUGAAAAGAACUUUGAAAAGAGAGUUAAAGAGUACCUGAAACUGUUGAAAGGGAACCGUAUCGUUUCCAGUGUUGUAUCCUGUGCAUAUUUCAUUAGCGGAGUAAUUUGCUGGUGCCCUGUGCAUGGGUGUGACGUCAGAGUCAGUUUGUAUGCUGCGGGAGAUGGUCAGUAAGGAGGUGCGUCACUUCGGUGAAAGUUAUAUCUUGCUGUCUAGUAGCCGUGGUUGAGACUGAGGUGCCUACAACAUGCCUUGGGGUUCAGUGUUGUCUCGUUUUGGUGACUGCUUGGAUAGCUUGCUAUGUCUGCGGUUAAUCAGGGCGAUUGAUGAUGUUGAUAACCUCUGCUGUUCGGGACUCUGGCGAAAUGGAGCGAUAC
rnacentral:rRNA from 2 species